GCCUUCGGUAGUCCGAGUUGUAAUUUGAAGAUUGUAACCUUGGGGUUGGCUCUUGUCUAUGUUUCUUGGAACAGGACGUCACAGAGGGUGAGAAUCCCGUGCGAUGAGAUGCCCAAUUCUAUGUAAGGUGCUUUCGAAGAGUCGAGUUGUUUGGGAAUGCAGCUCUAAGUGGGUGGUAAAUUCCAUCUAAAGCUAAAUAUUGGCGAGAGACCGAUAGCGAACAAGUACAGUGAUGGAAAGAUGAAAAGAACUUUGAAAAGAGAGUGAAAAAGUACGUGAAAUUGUUGAAAGGGAAGGGUUUGAGAUCAGACUCGAUAUUUUGUGAGCCUUGCCUUCGUGGCGGGGUGACCCGCAGCUUAUCGGGCCAGCAUCGGUUUGGGCGGUAGGAUAAUGGCGUAGGAAUGUGACUUUACUUCGGUGAAGUGUUAUAGCCUGCGUUGAU
rnacentral:rRNA from 1 species